GAUGUUCUAACGUGGACCCGUAAUCCGGGUUGCGGACAGUGUCUGGUGGGUAGUUUGACUGGGGCGGUCUCCUCCUAAAGAGUAACGGAGGAGCACGAAGGUUGGCUAAUCCUGGUCGGACAUCAGGAGGUUAGUGCAAUGGCAUAAGCCAGCUUGACUGCGAGCGUGACGGCGCGAGCAGGUGCGAAAGCAGGUCAUAGUGAUCCGGUGGUUCUGAAUGGAAGGGCCAUCGCUCAACGGAUAAAAGGUACUCCGGGGAUAACAGGCUGAUACCGCCCAAGAGUUCAUAUCGACGGCGGUGUUUGGCACCUCGAUGUCGGCUCAUCACAUCCUGGGGCUGAAGUAGGUCCCAAGGGUAUGGCUGUUCGCCAUUUAAAGUGGUACGCGAGCUGGGUUUAGAACGUCGUGAGACAGUUCGGUCCCUAUCUGCCGUGGGCGCUGGAGAACUGAGGGGGGCUGCUCCUAGUACGAGAGGACCGGAGUGGACGCAUCACUGGUGUUCGGGUUGUCAUGCCAAUGGCACUGCCCGGUAGCUAAAUGCGGAAGAGAUAAGUGCUGAAAGCAUCUAAGCACGAAACUUGCCCCGAGAUGAGUUCUCCCUGAGACUUAGAGUCUCCUGAAGGAACGUUGAAGACGACGACGUUGAUAGGCCGGGUGUGUAAGCGCAGCGAUGCGUUGAGCUAACCGGUACUAAUGAACCGUGAGGCUUAACCUUAC
rnacentral:rRNA from 1 species